rnacentral:rRNA from 1 species
UUUUCAGAGAUGAGAAUGUGCCUUCGGGAACCGUGAGACAGGUGCUGCAUGGCUGUCGUCAGCUCGUGUUGUGAAAUGUUGGGUUAAGUCCCGCAACGAGCGCAACCCUUAUCCUUUGUUGCCAGCGAUUAGGUCGGGAACUCAAAGGAGACUGCCAGUGAUAAACUGGAGGAAGGUGGGGAUGACGUCAAGUCAUCAUGGCCCUUACGACCAGG